UACGUAGGUGGCAAGCGUUGUCCGGAAUUAUUGGGCGUAAAGCGCGCGCAGGUGGUUCCUUAAGUCUGAUGUGAAAGCCCACGGCUCAACCGUGGAGGGUCAUUGGAAACUGGGGAACUUGAGUGCAGAAGAGGAAAGUGGAAUUCCAAGUGUAGCGGUGAAAUGCGCAGAUAUCAGGAAGAACACCCGUGGCGAAGGCGGCUCUCUGGGACGGUACUGACGCUGAGACGCGAAAGCGUGGGGAGCGAACAGG
rnacentral:rRNA from 1 species